GUGGACUGGUGUGAAGAUGGUUAAAGAGGUGGAGAGGGACAGGCACGCAAUCCUUGCGGAGAGCAUGGAGAUUUGUACUGGAGGUGGGAGGGAGAUUUUGGUUGGUGACUGUCCCGCCAGAGAGUUGCCUCCCCCUUGGAGGUGCCUCUUGGAUGGAGGGGAGGAGGGGUGGAGGCAUUUAGACGGUGAAGGAAUGAUGAGGGAAGAAAAGGGUAAGGGUUUUUUUUGUUAAGGUUUUUUGUUUUAAGGGUUUUUUUUGUUAAGGGUGAUGCCAGGAGCCCCAUGGUGGACUUGAAGGAUGUCUAGA
rnacentral:lncRNA from 1 species